rnacentral:rRNA from 1 species
CACUGACAUUAGAUACCCGGGUAGUCCCAGCCGUAAACUAUGCGCGUUAGGUGUACUGGUGACCCACGAGUCACCGGGGGUGCCGAAGGGAAACCGUGAAACGUGCCGCCUGGGGAAGUACGGGUCGCAAGGCUGAAACUUAAGGAAUUGCGGGGGAGCACCGCAACGGGAGGAGCGUGCGGUUUAAUUGGACUCAACGCCGGGAAGCUCACCGGAUAGGACAGCAGAAUGAUUGCCGGGGCUGAAGACCCUGCAUGACUAGCUG